CUCUCUUUUUUUUCUUACGUACCACAAAUCAGCCUGGAACCCGAGACUCUACGGUCUACCACUCUCUCGCACUACACUUGACGCACGAUCUUUUCCCUAUCGCAAGACAUCUUUCUCGUUGCAGGGCUUGUAGUCGAAUCAAUCGCAAUCGUAGUUGCAGUGAAAAUGGUUAGUGAUAGUGAUUUAAAGACAUGGGUGUCUGACAAGUUGUUUUCAUUGUUGGGAUAUUCUCAGUCCGCAGUGGUUCAGUACAUUGUUGGAAUAACUAAGCAAGCAACAACACCUGCUGAUGUGCUGGGCAAACUCCUUGAAUGUGGGCUUCCAUCAACAAGAGAAACUCGUGCCUUUUCUGAGGAACUUUUUGCCAGAGUUCCCCGAAAAACGUCUGCUGUCAAUCUUUAUAAGGAACAAGAAAAGGAAGCUGCUAUGUUAGCUAGGAAGCAGAAGACUUAUGCACUGCUAGACGCGGACGAUGAUGAUGAUGAUGACGACGACACUGUUCAUGUUGGUCUUGGUCAGAAAUCAUCUGGUACGGUUGCUUCUCAGCCCAUUAAAGAAGACACACAAAAGAAACGUUUCAGGAAGAAAAUCGAAACUCAAGACGACGAAGAUGACGAGGUGAUUGCACAAGCCAAAGUAGAGAGACGAGUUAAGAGACGGACUUACGAAGAUGAUGGUUCAGAGUCAGAAGAGGAGAGGUUGCAAGACCAAAGAGAGAGGGAGCAACUAGAGAGAAAUAUAAGAGAACGCGAUGCUGCAGCAACAAGGAAGUUGACUGAGUCAAAAUUAUCUCGGAAAGAGGAAGAUGAGGCAAUACGAAGAUCGGAUGCCUUGGAGACAAAUGGCAUUGAUACUUUAAGGAAGGUGUCGAGGCGAGAAUACUUGAAAAAAAGAGAGCAUAAGAAAUUGGAAGAACUCAGAGAUGAUAUAGAAGACGAACAAUAUUUGUUUGAGGGUGUUAAGCUCACUGAAGCAGAGUAUCGUGAACUCAGAUACAAGAAGGAGAUAUACGAGCUUGUAAAGAAGAGGUCAGAAGAGGAUGAUAAUAUGGGUGGGUACAGGAUGCCUGAAGCCUAUGAUCAGGAUGGGGUUGUUAAUCAAGAAAAGAGGUUUGCUGUGGCCAUGGAACGUUACAGGGAUCCGAGUGCUGCGGAUAAAAUGAACCCUUUUGCAGAGCAAGAGGCUUGGGAAGAGCAUCAAAUUGGAAAGGCCACACUGAAGUUUGGUUCAAAAAAUAGGAAGGAAAUAUCAGAUGACUAUGAGUAUGUGUUCGACAACCAGAUAGAUUUUAUCAAGGCAUCAGUGAUGGAUGGAGAUAAUUACAACAAUGAGGUACUAAAAGAAUCGGUUGAGGACUUAAGGACAAAAUCAGCUUUGGAGAAGCUUCAGGAGGAGAGAAAAACAUUACCAAUAUAUCAUUAUCGGGAUGAGCUGCUCCAAGCAGUUAAUGAUCACCAGGUUCUUGUCAUUGUUGGGGAAACAGGUUCUGGGAAAACCACACAGAUACCACAGUAUCUCCAUGAAGCUGGUUAUACAAAGCGUGGAAAGGUUGGUUGUACACAGCCACGGCGAGUUGCUGCUAUGAGUGUUGCUGCCCGAGUGUCUCAAGAAAUGGGUGUCAAACUUGGCCAUGAGGUUGGUUAUUCUAUUCGAUUUGAAGAUUGCACGUCAGAGAAGACCAUUUUGAAAUAUAUGACAGAUGGUAUGUUGUUGCGUGAGUUUCUCGGCGAGCCGGAUUUGGCAAGUUACAGUGUGGUGAUGGUGGACGAGGCACAUGAAAGAACUUUGUCGACUGACAUUCUAUUUGGAUUAGUGAAGGAUAUAGCUCGAUUUCGGCCUGAUCUAAAGUUGCUUAUCUCAAGUGCUACACUUGAUGCGGAAAAGUUCAGUGAUUAUUUUGAUUCUGCUCCGAUUUUUAAAAUUCCAGGGAGGAGAUUUCCGGUUGAGAUACAUUAUACGAAGGCACCGGAAGCUGAUUACUUAGAUGCGGCUAUUGUUUCUGUGCUCCAAAUUCACGUAACGCAGGAAGCUGGAGAUAUUUUGGUCUUCUUCACUGGUCAGGAGGAAAUCGAGACAGCGGAAGAAAUUUUGAAGCACAGGACAAGAGGGCUGGGGACUAAAAUCGCUGAACUUAUUAUCUGCCCUAUCUAUGCCAACUUACCAACUGAACUUCAAGCCAAAAUAUUUGAACCUACUCCUGAAGGGGCACGCAAGGUUGUUCUUGCAACAAAUAUUGCAGAAACCUCGUUAACAAUUGAUGGGAUCAAGUAUGUCAUUGAUCCAGGUUUCUGCAAGAUGAAAUCUUAUAACCCAAGGACUGGGAUGGAAUCUUUGCUAGUCACUCCUAUCUCUAAGGCUUCAGCCAAUCAACGUGCCGGUCGGUCUGGACGAACAGGUCCUGGAAAGUGUUUCCGUUUAUUUACUGCUUACAAUUACCAUCAUGAUCUGGAUGAGAAUACGGUACCAGAAAUACAACGAACCAAUCUUGCCAAUGUUGUCCUAACUCUGAAGAGUCUUGGUAUUCAUGACUUGCUAAACUUUGACUUUAUGGACCCACCACCAGCUGAAGCAUUACUGAAAGCAUUGGAAAUGCUUUUUGCAUUAAGUGCCUUAAAUAAGCUUGGCGAAUUGACAAAAGUGGGUAGGCGAAUGGCAGAAUUCCCUCUUGAUCCCAUGUUGUCUAAAAUGAUAGUCACUUCUGACAAGUAUAACUGCUCAGAUGAAGUAAUUUCCAUUGCUGCUAUGCUUUCUAUCGGGAAUUCAAUCUUUUAUCGUCCAAAGGAUAAACAAGUUCAUGCUGACAAUGCACGCUUGAACUUUCACACAGGGAAUGUUGGUGACCAUAUUGCUUUGCUCAAGGUCUACAGUUCUUGGAAGGAAACUAAUUACUCAACGCAAUGGUGUUAUGAAAAUUAUAUUCAGGUUAGGAGUAUGAAGCGUGCCAGAGAUAUCAGAGACCAAUUAGAGGGACUAUUGGAGAGGGUUGAAAUUGAAUUAUCAUCCAACACAAAUGAUUUAGAGGCUAUAAAAAAGUCAAUAACAUCUGGAUUUUUCCCUCAUUCUGCGAAGCUUCAAAAGAAUGGAUCUUAUCGAACAGUGAAGCAUCCGCAGACAGUUCACAUACAUCCAAGUUCGGGUUUGGCGCAGGUAUUGCCAAGAUGGGUUAUAUACCAUGAGUUGGUUCUUACAACCAAGGAAUACAUGAGGCAGGUGACUGAAUUGAAACCUGAGUGGCUGGUGGAAAUAGCACCUCAUUAUUACCAGAUGAAGGAUGUUGAAGACACGGGAUCAAGGAGAAUGCCACGAGGAGAGGGACGUGCUGCAUCAUAAGGAUCAUUUGCAUCUCGUUGGGAUGUAGGACUGUUGAUACUUUAGUGGAGAUAAAGAAAAUUGUAUAUACCUUGGAAGCUUGUGUUGGUUCUCAGGAAUAGUGAUUUUGGGACGGUUCAUGUAGUUCGUAAAUACAAUUUUGUUGGUUUAGUGUGUCCGUAUUUAGUUGACAAGGCUUGUGUGCUCUUUGGAUUCUUAGGAUGGAUGAGGCAUCAUCAUAACAAUCUUGCCAAUUUCCCUUUCUAACGUUUAUACCGGUUUCACAAGAAUGGAAACAAGAAGUAUGGAAUGUGCCUUCACCCUCGAAGAAUAAAUUCCGAUGGGCGAUUUUGGUGGGCAUGGUAAGUGAAAAGUCAAACCAUGCCGGUACAGGUGGUUCCUUUCCGCUGACCUGGGCUGUAUAUGGUAUGAACUUGUUUUGGUGGAGUCUAUAGUGCAUGGUAGUCAUUAGUGCUGUAUGUUAUAAUUAGUUAGUUGAGUUGGCAGCGCUGUUAGCUAAACGACUGUUGGUUUAGCCUAUUAAGUCGGUGUAUUAGCAUUACAAAGUCUGUUGUAUUACAGGAGUUGGUUAGUCUUGAUAAUGAAAUACGAAAUGGAGGUUUCCUUCA